UACAGAGGGUGCGAGCGUUGUCCGGAAUCACUGGGCGUAAAGGGCGCGUAGGCGGCCUGGUAAGUAGGGGGUGAAAUCCUGCGGCUUAACCGCAGGGCUGCCUUCUAAACUGUCAGGCUCGAGCACGGUAGAGGCAGAUGGAAUUCCCGGUGUAGCGGUGGAAUGCGUAGAGAUCGGGAAGAACAUCAGUGGCGAAGGCGGUCUGCUGGGCCGUUGCUGACGCUGAGGCGCGACAGCGUGGGGAGCAAACAGG
rnacentral:rRNA from 1 species